AGAAUCAACGCUGGCGGCGUGCCUAACACAUGCAAGUCGAACGAGAAAGUGGAGCAAUCCAUUAGUAAAGUGGCGCACGGGUGAGUAACACGUGACUAACCUACCCUCGAGUGGGGAAUAACUUCGGGAAACCGAGGCUAAUACCGCAUAAAACCUAAGGGUCAAAGGAGCAAUCCGCUUGAGGAGGGGGUCGCGGCUGAUUAGCUAGUUGGCGGGGUAAUGGCCCACCAAGACUGUGAUCGGUA
rnacentral:rRNA from 1 species